rnacentral:rRNA from 1 species
AGGACGAACGCUGGCGGCGUGCUUAACACAUGCAAGUUGAGCGGAAAGGCCCUUCGGGGUACUCGAGCGGCGAACGGGUGAGUAACACGUGAGUAAUCUGCCCCUAGCUCUGGGAUAGCUCCGGGAAAACCGGGAUUAAUACCGGAUACGACCACCUUAGACAUCUUUUGUGGUGGAAAGAAUUUCGGCUAGGGAUGAGCUCGCGGCCUAUCAGCUUGUUGGUGGGUAACGGCCUACCAAGGCGACGACGGGUA